GGAUGUCUGGAACCUUCUGGGUCCUCUUUCCAGCCAGGAUCUGAUCAAGUGGACAGAGAUUGAAGUUGAAGAUGAAUAGAAGGGGAUCAUGGUCACUGUUGAGAUCAGACCGAUAGGAGCCCAUUCCGCUCAGGAAUUAGCAACCACCCGUCAUACCUUGACGGAGCAGAAUCAGUUUGUCAGCCGGCUCAGUUUAUUAUAAAAGGAAUAGAAGCAAUCGGUGCAGGACCUCUACAGCUCGCAGCGCUUCCCCUGAUGAUGAGUUGAUAGAUAUCUUCUCGAAAGGGUGGAGAGAAACACAGACAGGGGUAAGGACACACGUGGCAGAGUGGAACACAGGAUAGAAUUACGAAAAGCUUCGAAAGACAUGGAAGUCCAAGAGCCCCAGGGAAAGAUUGGUGAGAAGAAAUGUACGUAAGACUAAAAACAACAGCAUCAAAAGAGAUACCUCAGUGCUUUGAUAAGGAUGUCAGUUAUGGGGUUCAUCUUUUCUACCCAGAAGUCAAGAAGGCACUGAAACUGAGGAUUUUGCAUUCCAGAACCUAUAAAUUUAUCUCUGAUUUAAUCUCAGAGGAUUGAAGUGACUUCCACAAGCAAGAAAAAAAGUGGAGCCCAAAUAGAAGAAGAAGAAGUAAGAGUUGUGUAAGAAGUAAAAAAGUCGUAUUAGAAUUAUCAUCAUAAAUUGGAUAUAAUUGUGUUAUUUUGUGUUAAUAAUAUUUUAUGUUAAUGAAGCAUAGCACUUUUAUCAAUAUCUCUUAACUUUUAGUACAACUCUUUUAAGUAUCAAUCUAUCCUGAAGUACAGGUUUUUAGUAAUAUCCCUUUUUGCAUAAUUCUGAUUUUUCAUGUAUCCUCCAAAGUUCCUAAUAAACGUCUGUGUUCCAUUUGUAGUUCUGUUGCUUCA